rnacentral:tRNA from 3 species
GGAGAGGUGUCCGAGAGGCCGAAGGAGCACGAUUGGAAAUCGUGUAGGCGGUUACCACCGUCUCGAGGGUUCGAAUCCCUCCCUCUCCG